GACGAACGCUGGCGGCGUGCUUAACACAUGCAAGUCGAACGGAAAGGCCCUGCUUUUGUGGGGUGCUCGAGUGGCGAACGGGUGAGUAACACGUGAGUAACCUGCCCUUGACUUUGGGAUAACUUCAGGAAACUGGGGCUAAUACCGGAUAGGAGCUCCUGCUGCAUGGUGGGGGUUGGAAAGUUUCGGCGGUUGGGGAUGGACUCGCGGCUUAUCAGCUUGUUGGUGGGGUAGUGGCUUACCAAGGCUUUGACGGGUAGCCGGCCUGAGAGGGUGACCGGCCACAUUGGGACGGGGAUACGGCCCAGACUCCUACGGGAGGCAGCAGUGGGGAAUAUUGCACAAUGGGCGGAAGCCUGAUGCAGCAACGCCGCGUGCGGGAUGACGGCCUUCGGGUUGUAAACCGCUUUCGCCUGUGACGAAGCGUGAGUGACGGUAAUGGGUAAAGAAGCACCGGCUAACUACG
rnacentral:rRNA from 1 species